GGUGCCAUAGCUCAGUUGGUAGAGCAAAGGACUGACAUUGUCUAUUAAUUGGCCUUGUGUCCCCGGUUCGAUUCCUGGUGGCACCA
rnacentral:tRNA from 1 species